ACUUCGCUGUGCACUGCCAUGGGGAAUCAAGCGACUUGGUCCGAAUCAACGUCCGCACGUACUGUGUUCUUUUAUAGGGCUCUCUACUUAGGCAAGACAAGAUGAUAUCUGCUGCUAAUUGCUAAAGUAUGCCAUUUCGUGUUAUGUUAUGUGCUAUAUCUAUAUAUAUUGAUUGAUCUUCUAUUAUAUAUUUCUGUUCAUAUCUCCCCCUUAUGAUUUGUGCCUGUUCGUUUUGAUCCAUUCUUUGGAGAUCUGAUAUAUAGAUACAUGUGUGUGUUCUUCUCUAGCUUUUCUGGAUCUCUUUCUCGAGCUAUUCACAUAGGAUUUCUAGAUCGAUUUGGUUGGCAAUUAAUUUCGAUGUGCUUCUUUGCUUCUUGAUCCAAGGCAUCGACAUAUGGCAUCAUCUGUUCCUCCUUUUUUUUUACUUCAUAUUUUGGUUGUGUACAUAGAUGAAGAACAUGAAAUGUCUCCAUUAUCUAGCUAGCUAGCACAAAACUCAUGCUUCCCAUUUGUGAAAAGGCGAACUACAUUCAUUAUCUGCAUGGCUCUAGCUUUAGUACUCGCACCUAGACACGCAUUAAAGCUCAGCCACACACACAGCGGCGAAGAUCAAGACCUGGCCUGUGAGCAAGAUAUAUAGUCUGGCUGACUCAAAUCUCUUGGCCGUUGCAUCUUAUAGCAAAGCUCGCUAUCGCUCUGCGUGCCGAUUGGAGUAAUGUGCAAUGAUAGCUUGUUGGCCAAUAGCUGAGACAGGUAUUAAUUAAAAUUUGGUUCUUCUGGAGCCAAGGACGUCAUUUAAAACGGAGAAAGUUUACUUAUAACAGGUACACUUAUUUCUAAGUAGGGAUCCACCUGCGAAAGUCCCACUUCUAGUUCAUUUCUCAAAUCUUCUAUUCAAAAUUUUGCUCAAAAUUAGAAUAGGAGAUUUGAAAAUUGAACAAGAAGCGGAACUUUCACGGGAUCCCGUUUGCAUCCCUAUUUCUAAGUCUCUUUUGUAUACUUUCUUAAUGUUGUAAUAAUAUGUGCAUUUUAUAAGUGCAUUGAUACAACAAGUCAAAUUAAGUUAUGUCUUCCAGACCAUAUACAUAUUAGAACCACAGGAACCGUAAAACAUGGGAAAAGGAAUCAUGCAUGAUAGGAUGCCAUGACAUGUUGAAUCAUGUGGGUGAGAACACAUGAAUCAACAGUAGAAGUUGUUUUGUUGCACCACAGGAAAAUACAGGAGUUUUGCAUAGAGACUAGUGUAUGUCAUAAUUGUCAUAGACAAAUAUGAAUUUUCAACCUAGAGGUCUCUAACCUCUUGUUGAAUCCCUAUCGGAUUAGACUGUAUGAAAGCAAUCCAUAGUAAUUAUGGAGGGCCCAUUUCUUUCAAUCAAAGAGCAUGUGCGAUUUUUUUUAGAAUCCUACAAAAAAUAUGCUUUAAAUUCCUUCGAUUCAAAGAGACCAUUAUCUGAUGCCCGAAGGUGUACAUAUAUGCACCAACUAGCUAGUAUUCAUACCGCAAAAUAGGUUAAUUAGGCCUAAUUUUGUAUAGCCUUUUUUACUUCUCAUGCAUAGAUUGGAGAUCACUUGCCUUAGGGGAGUUGGGAUUUAAUUAGGUCUACCGUAUUUGUAUAUAUGACCAUUAUUUUAGUGCGUGAGUACGUAGGAGCUAUCCUUAAUUUGCAGAUGGGUAGUUGCAUUUCAAAAUAGUGAAUAUCUAUAGUUAAAAAUAAUCAACACUCUAGUUUCCAAAGUACUAUGGUUGUGUGCAUUGAUCGAUUCAGAGGCUGGAAAGCUUCCCUCCUUUUCGAUUUUUUUCCUCCAAAGUACUCCAGUUCAAUGUCGAUACAAUCGACCUCUGUUCAAGAAUAUAUGACGUCUUAAUAAAUGUGCAAUCAAACUGUUCAAGAGUAUAUUUAAUCAUCGGGUAGAACUUUUGCAUGUUCUAUAUCUUUGAUUUUGAGAUUGGUGACCGUGCCUACACCCCUCCGUGUGUUUGCAUGUCCUACAUCUAGUAACAUACGUUUUGUGCAUAUAUAAUCAACUUUGUUUCUUCUUUCGUAGUCUAAAUGAUAUCGAUGGGUACCAGUGACAAGAAUGCACUUAGCACAUUUUGAUUUUCAUUGUUCUGUCUUUUUGUUUUGCUUUGUCAUUUUAUCUGCUGUUAAAAGCCUGCUUCUAGGCUUAAUCCCCAUGCAAGAGCAUUAGAUCGAGGGUGUACAUGUCAUUCAACUUUUGAUCUUUAUAACUUCACCUGGCUUCUGCAUUUGGCAGUGCAGUGCAUGCAAGAGAUAUAUUUUGAGAUAAUGGAAGAGAACGCUGAGUUGAUCGCCUUUUA